UACGUAGGUGGCGAGCGUUGUCCGGAUUUACUGGGCGUAAAGCGCGCGCAGGCGGACUGAUCAGUCUGGGGUGAAAUCUCACGGCUCAACUGUGAGCGGUCCCUGGAUACUGUCAGCCUUGAGAUGUCUAGAGGAGAGCGGAAUUCCCGGUGUAGUGGUGGAAUGCGUAGAUAUCGGGAAGAACACCAGUGGCGAAGGCGGCUCUCUGGGGACCAUCUGACGCUGAGGCGCGAAAGCGUGGGGAGCGAACCGG
rnacentral:rRNA from 1 species